GCAAGCCCUUGAUAAAAUGUGUUUUUUUUGUUUUGUUCACCCUGAAAGUAAUUGAAAGUGUCAAGAAAUAAAGCAUUGGUUGUGGUAAGUAAAUGUACAAUAAGGCAGCCAUACACAUUAGCAUCAAAUCACUCAAAACCUGCCACACGUCUCAUUUUAUAGAUUUUGACAAACAUCUGUCUUUGUGGUGUUUAUUUUAAAAUUGCGAAGAAUAAUAAAUGUAAUAAUUUGUCCAUUAGACAAACAUUUAAUGCUUUCUUUUAUUCAGCAGUGUAAAGCUGACUGGUAUAAUGUGCAAGUGAACAUAUUGCAUCACUAUUCAAAUUAUAGCUGUUGCCUUGGAAACUGCUGUUAAUGAUUGUACCGGCUGAGCCCAUAAGAUAAGAAGAAAAAAAAUGGCUCCAUUACGUGAGCAGUCUGCUACUGAAUUUGAUACAUCUGUCUUAAUUACUAUUGAAAGGCAAUGCAAAAAAUUAUAUUCUGUAAUCUAGUAUUAUCUGAAUUAAAUAAAGAGAUUAGUGUUCUCUGUUUGUAUAAAUCACAGGACAUUUUUUAUUGAUAACUACAAAGGGGUGAUUUUUUUCAUAUGAAUACUUUGUAACAGAUAUAGACGUAUGCAGGAGGAACAAGCUAAGAUAUCAGGAAGACCUCGGGUGUAAAGUUAAUUUUAGUGUGGGUCUGUCAUCCGGUUUAUUGCAUACUGCCUGCAAUUGAGCUAUAUAGCAUGGAUAGAAAACCUUCAGAAUGCAGUAUUUACUAUGUCUCUGCUAUUGUCACCCUACUUAACUGUCGGGGUCCAGUUACUGGAC